rnacentral:rRNA from 1 species
UACGAGGGGUGCAAGCGUUGCUCGGAAUUAUUGGGCGUAAAGGGUAGGUAGGUGGUCUCAUUUGUCUGGGGUGAAAGCCUUGAGCUUAACUCAAGAAGUGCCCCGGAAACGGUGAGACUGGAGUCCUAGAGAGGGUCGUGGAAUUCCCGGUGUAGCGGUGAAAUGCGUAGAGAUCGGGAAGAACAUCGGUGGCGAAAGCGCUCUACUGGACCGCAACUGACACUCAGGGACGAAAGCUAGGGGAGCGAAUGGG